GACUAGAGUUUGAUCCUGGCUCAGAACGGAACGUUAGCGGCGCGCCUAACACAUGCAAGUCGCACGAGAAAGGGCUUCGGCCCCGGUACAGUGGCGCACGGGUGAGUAACACGUAGGUAAUCUUCCCUUGAGCGGGGGAUAACCCUCCGAAAAGGAGGGCUAAUACCGCAUAAGACCACGACUCUUUCGGGAGUUGAGGUUAAAGCGGGCCUCUUCACGAAAGCUCGCACUCGAGGAUGAGCCUGCGGCCCAUCAGGCAGUUGGUGGGGUAACGGCCUACCAAACCUAAGACGGUAGCUGGUCUGAGAGGAUGGUCAGCCACACUGGAACUGAGACACGGUCCAGACUCCUACGGGAGGCAGCAGUGGGGAAUCUUGCGCAAUGGGGGAAACCCUGACGCAGCGACGCCGCGUGAGCGAUGAAGGCCUUCGGGUUGUAAAGCUCUGUGGGGAGGGACGAAUAAGUGUUGGCUAACAUCCAGCAUGAUGACGGUACCUCCUUAGCAAGCACCGGCUAACUCUGUGCCAGCAGCCGCGGUAA
rnacentral:rRNA from 1 species